UUUGAUUUUUGAAACUGGAUGUGCUUGGUUUGGGAAUCGAUGAAUUUGGGUUUUCUGUUGGAACUAUGGUGCUUAGAAUAGAUUCGUUGGAAAUUAGCUUUUUUGUCAGCUUAAUCUGGAUUAAGAUAAGUUUGAAUGCUGAUAAACAUAUAGAAAUGAAUGGAUUUAGAACUCUGCCAUUAAACUGUUUUUGCUUCCUUCAUUGGUCAAUCUGACCAGGUAAUGGUUUCUUGUUCUUGAUUUGGGUUCAAAAUAUUGGUGUUUGGUGAUUGGGUUUAGGGAUUUGCUUUGUGUCCUGCAAGUAUAGGAACUAAAAAUUUGUCUUUUUUUUUUUUUUUGGUUUUCGUCAUAUGAACUGGUAUGUUGUUCCCAAUGGUUUCCUAUUGUUUAUUGGUGGUUUAGGGAAGAGUAAAAAGAAAGACUGAGAAGAGAACAGGGAAAGAAGAGAAAGAAGAAAGAAGAAGGAGACGAGAAGCUCUCUGGGUUUUCUUUGAUCGCUGACCAAGCCUGUUACUUAGCCUCCAUUGGUAUGGGGAGUUUGGGGAGCUGCUGCCUCUGGUGAUUUGGGUUUAAGUUUCGGUUUGGAUGGAGAUGAGAAUGAUGAUGGUAGAGAUUAGAAAAGGGUAGUUGCCAGUAUUAGAGGU